rnacentral:tRNA from 1 species
GAGAUAAUAGUAUAAUUAAGUACGCUUCUUUUUCGAAGAAGUAGUUAUUUAUCUUA